CGCCAGGGGAUACAAACCCUUCUGCCCCUUUUUGCGACCCCUGAAGCUUACUGUUAGUGGUCGAGUUUUUCUGGAAGUGGGCUUCCGCGAUCGCGGGGACCAACGCCCUGAGCUCUUGUGCCCAAACGGGAUCGCCAGGUUUUUUGAUGCAGAUCGAAAGGAACUGGCCCCGGAGCCUACAACCUGACGCAGGUGGGACUUGGGGAAAUGUCGAGAAACCUAGAUCUGGGACUUGAGUUGGCUUCCAGGGCACACAUUAUUGUUCAGAACAAACAUAUUGCAAAAAUCGGGAGGUGACGGGCAGAUGAAGUGUCGGCGCUUCGCCUCGAGACUCCAAUGCAACCUACGGGGCUUUUGGAAAGGAGGAAGUCGAUGACUCUGCAGGGACUCCUCUGACCCAGGAGCAGAUGGCGCUCGUCUGGGCACUCCCCAGCAGAAAAGGUGCAUCGGGAAGCAGCCUGGCUUGUGGAUGGUGGACAAGGUGGAGGAGAGAGAAUUCCUUGGCAGCAGCAUUAUGAACAAAUGCGGGGCUGAGAAACAGCAUGGUGGCCUUGACUAAGUGUAUGGCGACAGCAGGUGAUGCUUCUUCAUGGGUUGUGGAUGAAGAAACUGAACAAGGCCAUGAUCGUUAUCUGUAAUUUCCCGGCUACCACUCUGCUUUGGUGGUCUUCCCUCGUCUCUUCCUGGGUAGAAAUAGAACUACCUGGAGAUCCCAAUGUUCUUGUCAGUGCACUUUUCAUGGACUGCAGUGGUAAGACGAUGUGUUGGAUGCCCAAACACAAGCCAAGUAAGUCCUGGAUUAAAAAAGGCAAGGCUAAAUGUCAUUACUAACCUGAGCCUCAGUACUCCCUCCCCUCAUUUCCCUCAACAACUACUUCUUCCUGCUGACAUCCACCAAACUUUACUAUGUGACCUUUAGAACUGGGGGACUCUGAAACCAGAGAGAGCCCUGAAAAGAAUUUAUACCCCUCUCUUUCUCUCUUUAGCGUACUUCAUACUGGGUGGAAUUUUUAUGAUUCCUCUCAUUCUGCUUGAACUGUUUGUUGCUGACCUUCCCUCAGUUAUUCCCUGAGACCCAGAAACAGUAUAUUUUCUGUGCAUCCAUCUGCAUUGUCACAGGUAAAGAGAGGCAGGAAUAAAUUCCGAAUGUCUUGGCCUUGGGGUGAGAGUGGAAGAGGCUUAAUUAGCCUCUUAAAAAAUUUUCAGGAGGGUACAAGAGAAAAGGAGAAGCUGGAGAAAAAAUGGUCUGAAAGGAGGGAGAAGAAGAAUGAAGGGAGGUGGUGAAAUAAUUUGGUUCCCUGAUCAUAAUACUACAGUUAAAUCUUUUAAGUAUUGAUAAGCUAAUUAGCAGAUUGAUGUCUCCCUCCUUUCUUAGGGUUGACAGGUACUUUUGUGUUCUUCUCCUUACUUAUGCACUAUACACACAUUUUGGAAGUGAGUCAGGGACCUGACCCAACAAAAGUCACUUAUAAGUUUCCUUACUUCAUAAAUUCAUUCAGCUAUGCUCUAUUUCUGCUAUCUGGUGAGUGAUCAUUGGAUUCUGUGAGGCCGAAGAGGGAGAGUUAACCUCCCAGGAAGUGGAUAAAGCUAAUUUCUGGGCCGGGCGCCGUGGCUCACGCCUGUAAUCCCAGCACUUUGGGAAGCCAAGGCGGGCGGAUCACGAGGUCAGGAGAUCCAGACCAUCCUGGCUAACACGGCGAAACACCGUCUCUACUAAAAAUAUAAAAAAUUAGCCGGGCGUGGUGGCGGGCGCCUGUAGUCCCAGCUACUCAGGAGGCUGAGGCAGGAGAAUGGCGUGAACCUGGGAGGCGGAGCUUGCAGUGAGUCGAGAUUGCGCCACUGCACUCCAGCCUAGGUGACCGAGCAAGACUCUGUAUCAAAAAAAAAAAAAAAAAAAAAU